rfam:Ciona savignyi cont_34637, whole genome shotgun sequence.
GCUUAUCACCAUUCCAGAUUGAAUAUACCCGAUCUCGUCUGAUCUCGGAAGUCAAGCAAUCUCG